rnacentral:rRNA from 1 species
UACGAAGGGGGCUAGCGUUGCUCGGAAUUACUGGGCGUAAAGCGCACGUCGGCGGCUUUCUAAGUCGGGGGUGAAAUCCUGGAGCUCAACUCCAGAACUGCCUUCGAUACUGGAAAGCUCGAGUCCGGGAGAGGUGAGUGGAACUGCGAGUGUAGAGGUGAAAUUCGUAGAUAUUCGCAAGAACACCAGUGGCGAAGGCGGCUCACUGGCCCGGUACUGACGCUGAGGUGCGAAAGCGUGGGGAGCAAACAGG